rnacentral:rRNA from 1 species
CAACUUUCAGCAACGGAUCUCUUGGCUCUCGCAUCGAUGAAGAACGCAGCGAAAUGCGAUAAGUAAUGUGAAUUGCAGAAUUCAGUGAAUCAUCGAAUCUUUGAACGCACCUUGCGCCCUUUGGCUAUUCUGAAGGGCAUGCCUGUUUGAGUAUCAUGA